GUUGUUGUGGUUAAAAAGCUCGUAGUUGAACCUUGGGCCUGGCUGGCCGGUCCGCCUCACCGCGUGCACUGGUCCGGCCGGGUCUUUCCCUCUGUGGAACCCCAUGCCCUUCACUGGGCGUGGCGGGGAAACAGGACGUUUACUUUGAAAAAAUUAGAGUGCUCCAGGCAGGCCUAUGCUCGAAUACAUUAGCAUGGAAUAAUGAAAUAGGACGCGCGGUUCUAUUUUGUUGGUUUCUAGGACCGCCGUAAUGAUUAAUAGGGACAGUCGGGGGCAUCAGUAUUCAAUAGUCAGAGGUGAAAUUCUUGGAUCUAUUGAAGACUAACUACUGCGAAAGCAUUUGUCAAGGAUGUUUUCAUUAAUCAGGAACGAAAGUUAGGGGAUCGAAGACGAUCAGAUACCGUCGUAGUCUUAACCAUAAACUAUGCCGACUAGGGAUCGGACGAUGUUAUUUUUUGACUCGUUCGGCACCUUACGAGAAAUCAAAGUGCUUGGGCUCCAGGGGGAGUAUGGUCGCAAGGCUGAAACUUAAAGAAAUUGACGGAAGGGCACCACCAGGGGUGGAGCCUGCGGCUUAAUUU
rnacentral:rRNA from 1 species